AUGCUCACUUCAGCAGCUCAUAUACCAAUAUUGGAAAAGAUACAGAGAUUAGCAUGGACCCCAUGCAAGGAUGACACACAAAUGCAUGAAGCCUCCCACAAAUAA